UACGUAGGGUGCAAGCGUUGUCCGGAAUUAUUGGGCGUAAAGAGCUCGUAGGCGGCCUGUCGCGUCGGAUGUGAAAAUCCAAGGCUCAACCUUGGACCUGCAUUCGAUACGGGCAGGCUAGAGUUCGGUAGGGGAGACUGGAAUUCCUGGUGUAGCGGUGAAGUGCGCAGAUAUCAGGAGGAACACCGGUGGCGAAGGCGGGUCUCUGGGCCGAUACUGACGCUGAGGCGCGAAAGCCAGGGGAGCGAACGGG
rnacentral:rRNA from 1 species